ensembl:misc_RNA Y_RNA Y RNA
GGCUGGUCCGAAGGUAGUGAGUUAUCUCACUUGAUUGUUCACAGUUACAGAUUGAACUCCUUGUUCUAUUCUUUCCCCUGUUCUCACUACUGCACUUGACUAGGUUUUU